GUCAUAACGCCGCCACCGCCGCCUUCGAUCGGCCGCCGCCAUUUUUUUGUCCGAGUCGCCACGUUACUAACCCCUUGAAAACAUUCCCCUGGAAAUGGGUGCUUUCCGAUCGAGGGUGCGCGAGAGACCAACCAGGGAUGUACGCUAAGCAUGCGGAGCCGACAUGAAAAGAAAAUCUUACGGGAGCGUCUCGUCUCGCAUCUGGAUGCACCAUUGAUCCACGAGAAUGCAUGUCUUUCAUUGGGAAUGAAUUCACUCUCUGACUAGCUUGUCUGUCAGAGGCACAUCCAAGGAACUGCAAUAGAAGCAAAAAUGUCACAAAUACCACAAGAAUUAAGUCUUGAGUAAGUGAGCCCAAUUGAAAAGAACUCUUCGUGGUGCGCCAGGAUGUGGUCUCAUAGCUGCCAUGAAAGGCUGGAUAAAGC